CCUACGGGGGGCAGCAGUGGGGAAUAUUGCACAAUGGGGGAAACCCUGAUGCAGCGACGCCGCGUGAGUGAAGAAGUACUUCGUUAUGUAAAGCUCUAUCAGCAGGGAAGAAAAUGACGUUACCUGAGUACGAAGCCCCGGCUAACUACGGGCCAGGAGCCGCGGUAAUACGGAGGGGGCAAGCGUUCUCCGGAUUUACUGGGUGGAAAGGGAGCGUAGACGGCAGUGCAAGUCUGGAGUGAAAGGCGGGGGCUCAACCCGCGGACUGCGCUUGAAACUGUACGGCUGGAGUGCAGGAGAGGUAAGUGGAAUUCCUAGUGUAGCGGUGAAAUGCGUAGAUAUUAGGAGGAACAUCAGUGGCGAAGGCGGCUAACUGGAAUGUAACUGACGUUGAGGAGCGAAAGCGUGGGGAGCAAACAGGAUUAGAUACCCCAGUAGUC
rnacentral:rRNA from 1 species